rnacentral:tRNA from 1 species
AGAGACUUAGGAUAACACUAAGACCAAAAGCCUUCAAAGCUUUAAGCAGGAGUGAGAAUCUCCUAGUCCCUG